rnacentral:rRNA from 1 species
UACGUAGGGGGCUAGCGUUGUUCGGAUUUACUGGGCGUAAAGCGCACGUAGGCGGCUAUUUAAGUCAGGGGUGAAAUCCCGGGGCUCAACCCCGGAACUGCCUUUGAUACUGGGUAUCUCGAGUCCGAGAGAGGUGAGUGGAAUUCCGAGUGUAGAGGUGAAAUUCGUAGAUAUCUGAAGGAACAUCAGUGGCGAAAGCGACUUCCUGGACCAAUACUGACGCUCAGGUGCGAAAGCGUGGGGAGCAAACAGG